GAGAAGGGGGCGGGGCCAGAACGUCAUAUGGCACGUCUAUCUAGCAGGACGUUCUGGAACAAAAACGAUUUUAAUUACAUCAGCUCUUUCGUCAUCAUCCUCUAUGUCAAGUCCUGGCGCAUGCAUGAUUGGAAAGUACCAUACCAGAAUCUGUGCAAGGAGAGCAAAGGAUGGAAAAUCACUGAUGCCACCACGAGGUAAAGGUUGAACACUGUUAACAAAAACAGGCGGCUAAUCUUGGCACUCCUGUAUCUUCACUGCGACAAUCAUGAUGACCAAUUUUUGAUGGAGUUCACCUUCAUCUCCUGCCUCAUCAAUAACCCAUCUCCACCUAAGGUCCAUCAUGUUACUGCUGCGGAUGUUCUUGAAGUGCAAGGUGGUGUUACCCCAGAUGUCUGCGGGCGGACCACCGACAAUUAGAGUGAGACAAAAGGCUUCCUCACCUGAGAUGACGUCAAACUGGAUGUGCACGUCGUCUCCAGGCGCCUGCUGAAAACACAGAAAUGGACUUUUAGGGAUUUUAAUGUGUGUCGUUUCUGAUGGCCUUUGCUACUACUAAGUUUAGGAACAUAAAGUCGCCAUUGAGCACACCGAGGUCAUGUCCUCUGUAUUUAUUAAGUGACAAAAAAAGAUCUGCAAAUAUACUUUGUGAAGGACAUCAUGUGCGCGGUACAUCAUCCUCUCUCAAUACACGAUCUUUGGUCAUGCUACAACUCCAGACAACAAUGUAACGCAAUGAAGUCCACUUUUACUUUAAACAUUAUCCGAUACGAAAUGAGCUGUCAACAAACUGGCGUCACUAAUGUUAGUUUCACCGGAAUGAAAUCGAUGUUAAACGCUGUCUGUGUAAUACCGUUGUCAUGUCAGUCAGGUGCCGCCCCGCUCUACACCCAGAACACGCGCUGUGCGAAGGGAUCCGCAGUCCGUGUGUAAUAAUCUCCUUCCGCGUCUGUACCUGACGACCGCAUUUCAGGCUGGCCGCUCUGGAAACACUCUGUGGAAACGCUGCCCACCCACACUGCGCGUCUGAGCUGCUGUGACUUAGAUUAACAUAGUAACUAAUUAGAUUUCCAUCCAUCCAUCCAUCUUCUUCCGCUUACGCGAG